GGUGUACCUGCCUUUGUAAACAGUGAAACAGUGUCUGAAUGCUAGGUGAGGUAGUUAUUCAUUUUCUUUGGACUGCAGGUUACUCCCAGAGAGUGUUUCCAUGGAUUUGCCCGCCUCAGGACAGCCUCACCUGUGUUUCCUGCCUUGAGAAAAAGUUUACAGAACCCUGAUCCAAACGAUUAAACUCUUCAGCCCAAGAACUGGAAGAAAAGCCAAAUAAAUAAAGUCAACUACAUUCAUAAUCCACAGAGAAGGAUAAAAGCAGAAAGCUCCCCCACUACUUUGGAAUAGCAUGUCCCCUGAGACAUAAUGCUAUUCCUCUUAAGGAUUUGUGGGAUUUCUUCUACAGUGUGGCUUCAUGAAGUUCUAAGUUUUAUUAACGUCCAGAAUCAGAUGGCAUAUCCACAGUCAAAUAAAUCCAGGCAUUUAAAAAUAACUCACAUAUCUUCUCACAAAAGAGCUGCCACUGUAACUCACUGAAAUGUAAGAAAGAAAGAAAAAAAAGAAAAAGGAAAAGAAAAACCUGAAUGAUUUUAUACAAUCUGUGAGUUCACAUGAAGGAAAGAAAGCACCAACAGAAUGGAACUGACUCCUGCAACAGCCAGUUGGGCUUACCCCUCAGAUCAGAAACUACCUCUCUGGCCUUGACUGAGAACGAUUUUUGCUAAAAGAAACUUUGUUAUACUGCCCCAAAUGUUACUAAAGACCUAAGUUAUAAAGCACAUCUUUAAAAAUUGUUAAUCAUGAGGGUGAAUCAUGUUACUUUUCUCCUACUACCUGGCUGAGAUAGUUUUGCUAAGAAAAUAAGAAUUUUGAUUGGGGUAGGGGGAAGCAGGCGGUUUUGAAGCAUGGAGCAUUUUGAGAGAGAAGAAAAGUCUGGAUAAGAUGACAAACUGGCAGAAGGAGGAAGGAAAAGAAGGCUGACACUAACUUUUAGUGAGAAUCUACUCUGUGCCAGGUAUCAUGUUAGGAACUUAUACUACCUUAACUAUGUCUUUUUUUUUUUUACAAUUCUGCAAUAAAAGUACUAUCAUCUCUAUUUUACAGUAGAAACCCAUAGUUAAGUCAUUCUCCCAAAGGUCAUACAGCUAGUGAAAGAGCAGAUCUCAGAUGUGGGAUCAGCCCCUGACUAAGAUAAGGAGAAGAAAUUCCCUUCUGACUAGUUUCUUUAUUAGUCUGAAGGACCUAUAAGCCAGGCUACACAACUCAGCUAUGUUACUGACCAAAUAAAUUUUUAGAGUUUGUGACUAUAAACUGAUUCAGAAUUAUAGAUAAAUGCUUUCAAGUCCCAAACAGUUUUGUCCCAAAAUUUAAAAAAUUCUCCUACUCUCAGUUUGGAAGUUGGUUUAACUUUGAAAACAAAUGAUUUAAGGAUCACUAGAUUAUCUGUUUCAGUUUUCAUAUCCAUAUUUACUCAGCUUUGACUAUGUAACAAUCUGAUUAAUGAUAACUUAUACAGCACUUAUUAGUGCCAGAGCCAUAGACUUUCGUAUUUUAUGUUCUUGUUCCUACUUAAUUCAUGGUCUAGAAGGAGACACUGUCUCAUAAAAACAUCUAUAAAAAUGUGAUAAAUGCUAUUAGACAUGUAUAAAGUGUUAUGAGAAAACAAAAUAAAUUUAGGGUACGAUACUAAUAUCUAACCCUUCUCCAUAGACAUACACCUCCAGUAUGCUGCCUUUGCAUAAGAAGGGUCGUGAGGAGAUGCAUAUGAACAUACAUACAUAUUUUUUUUUUCUUAUACUUUCAAAAGGAAAUGCUAGAAGGUCAGACAGAAAGUAAUUACAAUGGUUGCUAAUUAGGAGUAGGGCAGGAUGGGUUGGAGGGGACAGGAUGAAAGCAAGGCUUCUCUGAGUAAAUCUUUUCUUUUAAAAAUUAAUUUUUUACUUCUGUGACAGUUUUACAUAUAUACAAGGUAAAACAACAAAGAAAAAUCCAACUCCUAUCACCCAUGCCAUCAAAGCAAAACAAAAUUCAACAGCACAGUAACCAACCAGAAGUUUCUCAGGGGGAAUUCCUUCCGAACCGUUCUUUAGGACCUGAAUCCCCAAGUCUUGGUAGUUGAGAGGUUAUUAAGAGGCAUGCUCUCUAAAUGCGUCCAACGUAAACAUACCCUCCCCUAGAGAACUUAGAUUACUUGUGAAGCUGUGGAAUUUUAUAGCACGUGAGGACAGCCACUGCUUCAGUUUAUAGCUUUGUUCAGUUCUACAUACAUUUGUUGCCUUUUUAAUCCUCCUCAGAUCAUCAUAACUUUUUCUUUCAUUACUUCAAAGAGCAGAAUAAGUGAAAUAAGUUCUUAUCUAUAUAUAUCCUUGUAAGAUUUUGGAAUACAAAGAAGAAAAAGAUCUCAAGAGGCCCUUCCAGUGGGAGGGUGUGAUUCCCCCCUUAGCUCUGGAAAAUACUCACCUAUCUGUAUCACAACAAUCCUCUUCCUUAAAUUUAGAUAAAAUUCAAAUAACAAAAUUUACCACUUUAACAAUUUUGAAGUGGAUAAUUCAGAGGGUUUUCGUAUAUGCACAGGUUGUGCAACAAGUACCAUUAAUUCCAGAACAUGCUCAUCAGCCCCAAAAAGAAACUCUAUAAUCCUGAAGCAGUCACUCCUUUUUAUUUUUUAAGUCUCUUUUUCUGAGGUUUUUAAUAGUAUACUUCAGACUUUCCAGAUCAUUCUUUCAUAGUUUUAAACUUCUUCUGUUUUUAUUUUUGUUCUGUAUUCUGGGAGACUUUGUUUCUUUUCUACUAUUGUUUAAAAUUUUUACUGUAGUUGAUUUACAAUGUUUGUAAAUUUCUUCUGCAGAGUGACUCAAUUAUAUAUAUUCUUUUUAAUAUUCUUUUCUAUUAUAGUUUCUCAUAGGAUAUGGAGUGUCAUUCCCUGUGCUAUAGAGUAGAAUCUUGUUUAUUCACCCUAUUAUAUAAUAGUUUGCCUUUGCUAAUCCCAAACUCCCAUUCUGUCUCUCCCCUACCCACCCCCCACUCCCUCAU